UGGGGAAUAUUGGACAAUGGGGGCAACCCUGAUCCAGCCGUGCCGCGUGAGUGAUGAAGGCCUUAGGGUUGUAAAGCUCUUUCACCCGGGACGAUAAUGACGGUACCGGGAGAAGAAGCCCCGGCUAACUUCGUGCCAGCGGCCGCGGUAAUACGAAGGGGGCUAGCGUUGUUCGGAAUCACUGGGCGUAAAGCGCACGUAGGCGGACCGUUAAGUCGGAGGUGAAAUCCUGGGGCUCAACCCCAGAACUGCCUUCGAUACUGGCGGUCUCGAGUCCGGAAGAGGUGAGUGGAACUGCCAGUGUAGAGGUGAAAUCCGUAGAUAUUGGCAAGAACACCAGUGGCGAAGGCGGCUCACUGGUCCGGUACUGACGCUGAGGUGCGAAAAGCGUGGGGAGCAAAACAGGAUUANGAUACCCUGGUAGUCCACGCCGUAAACGAUGAAUGCCAGCCGUCGGGCAGCAUGCUGUUCGGUGGCGCAGCUAACGCUUUAAGCAUUCCGCCUGGGGAGUACGGUCGCAAGAUUAAAACUCAAAGGAAUUGAC
rnacentral:rRNA from 1 species